GGGGAUGUAACUCAGUGGUAGAGUGCUUGCCUAGCAAGCAAGCACAAAUCCCUGGAUUCAAUCCCU
rnacentral:tRNA from 1 species